rnacentral:rRNA from 1 species
UACGUAGGGUGCAAGCGUUGUCCGGAAUUAUUGGGCGUAAAGAGCUCGUAGGCGGUCUGUCACGUCGGCUGUGAAAUCCCGAGGCUCAACCUCGGGUCUGCAGUCGAUACGGGCAAACUAGAGUAUUGCAGGGGAGACUGGAAUUCCUGGUGUAGCGGUGAAAUGCGCAGAUAUCAGGAGGAACACCGGUGGCGAAGGCGGGUCUCUGGGCAGUAACUGACGCUGAGGAGCGAAAGCGUGGGGAGCAAACAGG